ensembl:lncRNA novel transcript, antisense to EMCN
GGGAGACUGGAGAAGCAGAAGAUGUACUCUAGAUUAUAAUUAAAUCCUCAUUCACUCAUUACAUUUUUUAGUACUUUAUAAUGAAGUUACCAAAAUAUAUAUAACCCAACGGGGAUUGCUUUAGUCCUAAUGCUGGCUUUCUAAAACACUCACAAAUUUCUUUCUAUAAUAAUACCUUAAAACUAGAAAAGGCAUAAAAUAAUGUAAGUAGAUACCACAGUGAAGAUGAUUCUUGAAAAUGAACAUGAUUCAAGAGAGAUGUGUAUGUGUGUCUGUUUGGGGGAGUGAUGUUGCUGCAGUAACUUAGGACUAUGGAAAUGAUGUUAGACAAAAACAAAUCCAAGCGAUUUUCUUAUUUGAGUUCAAAAUGGGUCGUAAAAGAAGCGCAGACAACUCACGAUAUAAACAAAGCAUUUGUCUCAGGAAUUGCUAACGAACAUACAGUGCAUUCAAGAAGUUCAAGAAGUUUUGCAAAGGAAAAGAGAUCCUUGUAGAUGAGGAGCAUAGUGGCCAGACAUCGGAAGUCCACAAUGACCAUUUGAGAGCAAUCAUUGAAGCUGUUUCUCUAACAACUACAUGAGAAGUUGCCAAAGAACUCAAACCUUGACGAUUCUACAGCCCUUUAGCAUUUGAAGCAAAUUGGAAAGCUGGGAAAAUCUCGCUAAGUGGGUGCCUCAUGAGCUGAGCGAAAAUUAAAAAAUCCUCGUUUUGAAGUGUCAUCUUCUCUUAUUCUACACGACAAACCAUUUCUUGAUCUGAUUGUGAUGUGCGACAAAAAGUGACAACUGGCAACAACUAGCUCAGUGGUUGGAGUGAGAAAAAGCUCCAAAGCACUUCCCAAAGCCAAACUUGCACCAAAUAAAGGUCAUGGUCACUGUUUGGUGGUCGGGUCCACUGCAGCUUUCUGAAUCUUCAGGCUUCAAAAGAUACUAUCAACAAAAUUAAAAGAUAACCUAUAGAAUGGGAAAAAUAUUUGCAAAUUAUCUAUCUUGUAAACUUCUAGUCUUGAAUGUAUACAGAACUCUUGCAACUCGACAAUAAGAGGACAAAUAGCCAAAUUUUUAAAAAGAUAGACAAAGAAUUUGAGCGGACAUUUUUCCAAGGACAAUACACAAAUGGCUACCAAACACAUGAAAUAUGUUCAACAUCAUUAAUCAUUAGAGAAAUAUAACUCAGAGUCACAAUGAGAUACCAGUUCACACCCACUGAGAUAAUUAUAAUUAAGACAGACAAGUGUUAGCUAGAAUAUAGAGAUAUUGGAACUCUUGUAUGUUGCUGGUGGAAAUGUAAUAUAGUACAGCUGCUUUGGAAAUCAGUUCCUUAAAAUGUUAAACAU